UUAAAACUUAAGUUAUUAGAGGAGGAACCUACGUUCAUCCUAAUUUAUUUAUGUUUGCAGCACUGAGAAUUAAUAUGGUCACAAAUUAAUUUCCUCCUUUAUUGGUUAACCUAUAACUAAUACAUUACUCUACAUAACCUAAUUUGAUGCAGAAAUGAAUUCAAACAACAUUACUGAUCAGAUGACGGGUGCCGGAAUCAUCCGUAAGAUACCGUGUUGGUCACGAAAAGGUGCAAAACCAGGAUGCAAAAUCUUCGGCAAAAUCGCCGGCAAAGCUUGUAAAAUUUGCUCAUGUAAAUACCAGAUUUGCAGCAAAUGUCCUAAAUGUCAUGACCAAAAUAUCGCCGGCAAAGCUUGUAAAAUUUGCUCAUGUAAAUACCAGAUUUGCAGCAAAUGUCCUAAAUGUCAUGACCAAAAUUAGGCCUCAGAGACUAUGUACUUGUGCUGGUGUGAGUUUAGUUUUGAGAAUAAAGGGAAAGUUAUGAAUAGCCUAAUAUAAUUCUAUUCACUUUCCUCUAGUUAAUUUCUCUUAGUUUGUGUUUUGUUUUGUUAGUAGUUCCUAUUGUUGCAACUUGCAACAAGUCUUGGGUCAACAUGUACCUCUUGUCUUGUAGUCUUUCGACUGUAUGAUAUUG
rnacentral:lncRNA from 1 species